rnacentral:lncRNA from 1 species
GACAAGGAAGCCUAUAGGAUCGCAUACACAUCAUCGGUAUUAUCUAAAGCACGUUGCGUCCAACUACUACGGGCAAUAUCGGUCUACCACUGAACGACGACAAGUGACCAACAUGGGUAUUUAAUCUCUAUUAAUAUAAUUUCAUUUGUAAUAUUCAAUUUAUUCUGAAUAGAAGAGUGGUAUGUAAUUUUCGCUAUCAACUUAUAUUAGCAGGGUACGAGAUCAAUAAGGAUCGUUUUCAUGAGAUGUUGGCGAUUUUGCGUUCAGUUAACAAACAAGGCGCAGACUACCUCUGUAGCAUACCUU